rnacentral:rRNA from 1 species
UAGGGAAUCUUCGGCAAUGGGCGAAAGCCUGACCGAGCAACGCCGCGUGAAUGAUGAAGGCCUUCGGGUUGUAAAAUUCUGUUAUAAGGGAAGAAUGGCUCUAGUCGGAAAUGGCUAGAGUGUGACGGUACCUUAUGAGAAAGCCACGGCUAACUACGUGCCAGCAGCCGCGGUAAUACGUAGGUGGCGAGCGUUAUCCGGAAUUAUUGGGCGUAAAGAGCGAGCAGGUGGUUGAUUAAGUCUGAUGUGAAAGCCCACGGCUUAACCGUGGAGGGGCAUUGGAAACUGGUCAACUUGAGUGUAGAAGAGGGAAGUGGAAUUCCAUGUGUAGCGGUGAAAUGCGUAGAGAUAUGGAGGAACACCAGUGGCGAAGGCGGCUUCCUGGUCUGUAACUGACACUGAGGCGCGAAAGCGUGGGGAGCAAACA